rnacentral:rRNA from 1 species
AGUGAACGCUGGCGGUAGGCCUAACACAUGCAAGUCGAACGGCAGCACAGUAAGAGCUUGCUCUUACGGGUGGCGAGUGGCGGACGGGUGAGGAAUACAUCGGAAUCUAUUUUUUCGUGGGGGAUAACGUAGGGAAACUUACGCUAAUACCGCAUACGACCUACGGGUGAAAGCAGGGGAUCUUCGGACCUUGCGCGAGUGAAUGACCCGAUGUCGGAUUAGCUAGUUGGCGGGGUAAAGGCCCACCAAGGCGACGAUCCGUAGCUGGUCUGAGAGGAUGACCAGCCACACUGGAACUGAGACACGGUCCAGACUCCUACGGGAGGCAGCAGUGGGGAAUAUUGGACAAUGGGCGCAAGCCUGAUCCAGCCAUACCGCGUGUGUGAAGAAGGCCUUCGGGUUGUAAAGCCCUUUUGUUGGGAAAGAAAAGCAGCAGGUUAAUACCCCGCUGUUCUGACGGUACCCAAAGAAUAAGCACCGGCUAACUUCGUG